rnacentral:lncRNA from 1 species
CGGAAAUACCCUAUGUGAGAUUUGAGCCACUUGAUAUUCUUUCUUGUGUGUGAUAUGUCUCUUGAUUGCUUACACUUAUGCCUUGGCUUGACUCUUUUUGAUGAUUAUUGACUGAUAUGCAUGUUUGAAAGCGAUAAAGGUAGUUUUGUUGUUGAGCCUCUCUAGCCAGAUGAGCCUACCUUGUUGUGAUCCUUUGAUAGCCCCU